rnacentral:rRNA from 1 species
AGAAAUAGUGGGUAAUACCGAAUACGCUCGCACGGAUAAAGCUGUGUGAGGAAAGGUGCUACGGCGCCGGCCUGUAGAUGAGUCCGCGUCCCAUUAGUUAGUUGGUGAGGUAAAGGCCCACCAAGGCGAUGAUGGGUAGCCGGCCUGAGAGGGUGUACGGCCACACUGGGACUGAGAUACGGCCCAGACUCCUACGGGAGGCAGCAGCUAAGAAUAUUCCGCAAUGGACGGAAGUCUGACGGAGCGACGCCGCGUGGAUGACGAAGGCCGAAAGGUUGUAAAAUCCUUUUGCUGGGGAAGAAUAAGUCUGGGAGGGAAUGCCCGGAUGAUGACAUGAACCGGCGAAUAAGCCCCGGCCAACUACGUGCCAGCAGCCGCGGUAACACGUAGGGGGCGAGCGUUGUUCGGAAUUACUGGGCGUAAAGGGCAUGUAGGCGGUUUUGUAAGCCUGGCGUGAAAGAUCACAGCUUAACUGUGAGGGUGCGUUGGGAACUGCGAGGCUAGAGUUAUGGAGAGGGAGCUAGAAUUCCUGGUGUAGGGGUGGAAUCUGUAGAGAUCAGGAAGAAUACCAAUGGCGAAGGCAAGCUUCUGGCCGAUGACUGACGCUGAGGUGCGAAAGUGUGGGGAUCAAACAGGAUUAGAUACCCUGGUAGUCCACACUGUAAACGAUGUGCACUAGGUGCUGGUGCGGAUGCAUCAGUGCCGUAGCUAACGUGAUAAGUGCACCGCCUGGGGAGUAUGCUCGCAAGGGUGAAACUCAAAGGAAUUGACGG